rnacentral:pre_miRNA from 1 species
CAGUGUUUGGCAGAGGUGUAUGGAGUGAGAGAAGUCAAAGGGGUUUUGCUGAUUCAGUCAGUACUCUGUUGUCUCUCUCAUUCCAUACAUCGUCUGACGAACGUAGU